CCCAGACUCCUACGGGAGGCAGCAGUGAGGAAUAUUGGUCAAUGGUCGGGAGACUGAACCAGCCAAGCCGCGUGAGGGAUGAAGGUACAGAGUAUCGUAAACCUCUUUUGUCAGGGAACAAAGGCGGGGACGUGUCCCCGGAUGAGUGUACCUGAAGAAAAAGCAUCGGCUAACUCCGUGCCAGCAGCCGCGGUAAUACGGAGGAUGCGAGCGUUAUCCGGAUUUAUUGGGUUUAAAGGGUGCGUAGGCGGAGUGUCAAGUCAGCGGUAAAAUUUCGGGGCUCAACCCCGUCGUGCCGUUGAAGCUGACACCCUUGAGUGAGUGAGAAGUAAGCGGAAUGCGUGGUGUAGCGGUGAAAUGCAUAGAUAUCACGCAGAACUCCGAUUGCGAAGGCAGCAUACCGGCGCCCAACUGACGCUGAAGCACGAAAGCGUGGGUAUCGAACAGGAUUAGAUACCCCAGUAACG
rnacentral:rRNA from 1 species